GGGCCCAUGGUAUAGAGGUAACAUAUCUGCAUGGCAUGCAGAAGUCCGGGGUUCGAUUCCCCGUGGGUCCA
rnacentral:tRNA from 1 species